rnacentral:rRNA from 1 species
AACGAACGCUGGCGGCAUGCCUAACACAUGCAAGUCGAACGAGACCUUCGGGUCUAGUGGCGCACGGGUGCGUAACGCGGGGGAACCUGCCCUUAGGUUCGGAAUAACUCCCCGAAAGGGGUGCUAAUACCGGAUAAUGUCUUCGGACCAAAGAUUUAUCGCCUUUGGAUGGGCCCGCGUUGGAUUAGCUAGUUGGUAGGGUAAAAGCCUACCAAGGCGACGAUCCAUAGCUGGUCUGAGAGGAUGAUCAGCCACACUGGGACUGAGACACGGCCCAGACUCCUACGGGAGGCAGCAGUGGGGAAUAUUGGACAAUGGGCGAAAGCCUGAUAAAGCAAUGCCGCGUGAGUGAUGAAGGCCUUAGGGUUGUAAAGCUCUUUUAGCCGGGAUGAUAAUGACAGUACCGGGAGAAUAAGCGCCGGCUAACUACGUG